rnacentral:snoRNA from 1 species
AGUCUAUGGUGUGGGCAGCAUUUAAGUAGGUCCUUGUAUCUCUCCCAGUUGUGGUACAUUGACUCAUUGUCAAACUGCAUAAAAGAUGAUAUGUCAUUUCUAAGUUU